UGGCUCUCGCAUCGAUGAAGAACGCAGCGAAAUGCGAUAAGUAAUGUGAAUUGCAGAAUUCAGUGAAUCAUCGAAUCUUUGAACGCACCUUGCGCUCCUUGGUAUUCCGAGGAGCAUGCCUGUUUGAGUGUCAUGGUAUUAUCAAUUCCUCCAGCUUUUGUUGGAGAGAUAUUGGACUUGGAGGCAAUGCUGGCAUUAUUCUGAAUGCCAGCUCCUCUUAAUUGCAUUAGUGUGGAUGUGCACUUUAUACUCAAUGUGAUAAUUAUCUACAUUGUGGUAAAGGGUAUAAAUUCAUGCUUCCAAUUGUCACAUGACAUUUUAUUGACUUCUGACCUCAAAUCAGGCAGGACUACCCGCUGA
rnacentral:misc_RNA from 1 species